UGGGGAAUCUUGGACAAUGGGGGCAACCCUGAUCCAGCGAUGCCGCGUGAGUGAAGAAGGCCUUCGGGUCGUAAAGCUCUUUAGGUUGGGAGGAAGUGUGUAUUCAGAUAAUGGAUGCACAUUGACUGUACUGACAGAAUAAGCACCGGCAAACUCUGUGCCAGCAGCCGCGGUAAUACAGAGGGUGCGAGCGUUAAUCGGAGUUACUGGGCGUAAAGGGCGCGUAGGCGGUUUUAUGGGUGUGAUGUGAAAGCCCUGGGCUUAACCUGGGAAGUGCAUCGCAAACUAUGAGACUGGAGUACAAGAGAGGGUGGCGGAAUUUCCGGUGUAGCGGUGAAAUGCGUAGAGAUCGGAAGGAACGUCGAUGGCGAAGGCAGCCACCUGGCUUGAUACUGACGCUGAGGCGCGAAAGCGUGGGGAGCGAACAGG
rnacentral:rRNA from 1 species